rnacentral:rRNA from 1 species
GACGAACGCUGGCGGCGUGCUUAACACAUGCAAGUCGAACGGAAAGGCCCUGCUUUUGUGGGGUGCUCGAGUGGCGAACGGGUGAGUAACACGUGAGUAACCUGCCCUUGACUUUGGGAUAACUUCAGGAAACUGGGGCUAAUACCGGAUAGGAGCUCCUGCUGCAUGGUGGGGGUUGGAAAGUUUCGGCGGUUGGGGAUGGACUCGCGGCUUAUCAGCUUGCUGGUGGGGUAGUGGCUUACCAAGGCUUUGACGGGUAGCCGGCCUGAGAGGGUGACCGGCCACAUUGGGACUGAGAUACGGCCCAGACUCCUACGGGAGGCAGCAGUGGGGAAUAUUGCACAAUGGGCGGAAGCCUGAUGCAGCAACGCCGCGUGCGGGAUGACGGCCUUCGGGUUGUAAACCGCUUUCGCCUGUGACGAAGCGUGAGUGACGGUAAUGGGUAAAGAAGCACCGGCUAACUACGUGCCAGCAGCCGCGGUGAUACGUAGGGUGCGAGCGUUGUCCGGAUUUAUUGGGCGUAAAGGGCUCGUAGGUGGUUGAUCGCGUCGGAAGUGUAAUCUUGGGGCUUAACCCUGAGCGUGCUUUCGAUACGGGUUGACUUGAGGAAGGUAGGGGAGAAUGGAAUUCCUGGUGGAGCGGUGGAAUGCGCAGAUAUCAGGAGGAACACCAGUGGCGAAGGCGGUUCUCUGGGCCUUUCCUGACGCUGAGGAGCGAAAGCGUGGGGAGCGAACAGGCUUAGAUACCCUGGUAGUCCACGCUGUAGACGGUGGGUACUAGGUGUGGGGUCCAUUCCACGGGUUCCGUGCCGUAGCUAACGCUUUAAGUACCCCGCCUGGGGAGUACGGCCGCAAGGCUAAAACUCAAAGGAAUUGACGGGGCCCCGCACAAGCGGCGGAGCAUGCGGAUUAAUUCGAUGCAACGCGUAGAACCUUACCUGGGUUUGACAUGGAUCGGGAGUGCUCAGAGAUGGGUGUGCCUCUUUUGGGGUCGGUUCACAGGUGGUGCAUGCCUGUCGUCAGCUCGUGUCGUGAGAUGUUGGGUUAAGUCCCGCAACGAGCGCAACCCUUGUUCACUGUUGCCAGCACGUUAUGGUGGGGACUCAGUGGAGACCGCCGGGGUCAACUCGGAGGAAGGUGGGGAUGACGUCAAGUCCUCAUGCCCCUUAUGUCCAGGGCUUCACGCAUGCUACAAUGGCUGGUACAGAGAGUGGCGAGCCUGUGAGGGUGAGCGAAUCUCGGAAAGCCGGUCUCAGUUCGGAUUGGGGUCUGCAACUCGACCUCAUGAAGUCGGAGUCGCUAGUAAUCGCAGAUCAGCAACGCUGCGGUGAAUACGUUCCCGGG